GGGGGGACCCCCGCCUGACCCAGCCUGGCCUGCCCUCGGUAGCACACGGGCUGCCUGGAACUGCAGAUGGAGGGAGACCCGGGGUGACACCUGCUGGGCCAC